GCGUGGGGGAUGAAGGUCUUCGGAUUGUAAACCCCUGUUGGGAGGGACGAAGGUCUGCGGGCGAAUAGUCCGCAGUCUUGACGGUACCUCCAGAGGAAGCCCCGGCUAACUCUGUGCCAGCAGCCGCGGUAAUACAGAGGGGGCUAGCGUUAUUCGGAAUUAUUGGGCGUAAAGGGCGCGUAGGCGGCUGGGCAAGUCUAAGGUGAAAUCCCUCGGCUCAACCGAGGAACUGCCUUGGAAACUGCCCGGCUUGAGGCCGGGAGAGGGUAGUGGAAUUCCCAGUGUAGCGGUGAAAUGCGU
rnacentral:rRNA from 1 species